rnacentral:rRNA from 1 species
GUGUCAGCCGCCGCGGUAAUACGGAGGGUGCAAGCGUUAAUCGGAAUUACUGGGCGUAAAGCGUGCGUAGGCGGUUCGUUAAGUCAGAUGUGAAAGCCCCGGGCUUAACCUGGGAACUGCAUUUGAAACUGGCGGACUAGAGUUGAGUAGAGGGGAGUGGAAUUUCAGGUGUAGCGGUGAAAUGCGUAGAUAUCUGAAGGAACACCAGUGGCGAAGGCGACUCCCUGGACUCAAACUGACGCUGAGGUACGAAAGCGUGGGUAGCAAACAGGAUUAGAUACCCCCGUAGUCC